GGAGAGCAGCGUGCAACGCCUCUGAUGCUUCUAGAAGGCUCAUGCAUCCCGGGAGCUCAGGCGUCUGGAGGAGAUGAGACUCUACUCAACCUGCAAUGAGAAAGGUGGGCAGCUGUGCUCAGGAGCUACCCGAGACCUCAGCACCGUCUGCGUCCUGAAGAAGCCCAGCUUGAUCUGAAUAAGGAAGUGAAAACUCCCUAAAAUAAAGUUUGCAAGGGGACUACAUAUCAUAGCAAGACAAAUUUAUGUCGGCACUAAAAUUGGAACUUCCUGACCAGAGGGUUGUUUUGGAAAAUCUUUCCAAGAAGCUUCAGAAUCUCCUGUUGUGGAUACUUAAGAAGAUGUACCAGGUCUGGUGGCUCCUGUAAUCUCAGCACUCAAACCCACUCCUACCCGCUGCUCCCCAGCUCCUUGCCUAUCCCAGCUUAUUAAAUAAACUCUGUUAAAUAAGCCCA